rnacentral:rRNA from 1 species
UACGUAGGGUGCGAGCGUUGUCCGGAAUUAUUGGGCGUAAAGGGCUCGUAGGCGGUUUGUCGCGUCGGGAGUGAAAUCAUCUGGCUUAACUGGGUGCUUGCUUUCGAUACGGGCAGACUAGAGGUAUGCAGGGGAGAACGGAAUUCCUGGUGUAGCGGUGAAAUGCGCAGAUAUCAGGAGGAACACCGGUGGCGAAGGCGGUUCUCUGGGCCGGAACUGACGCUGAGGAGCGAAAGCGUGGGUAGCAAACAGG